rnacentral:rRNA from 1 species
AAAUGAAUAGACGGGGCUUUACACAAGCGGUGGAUCAUGUGGUUUAAUUCGACAACAAACGAGGAACCUUACCAGGGCUUGACAAGUUAAUGAAAGCCGUAGGAAACUAUGGCCUACCCACAAGGACAUUAACCCAGGUGCUGCAUGGUUGUCGUCAGCAUGUAUCUUGAGACGCACCCUUAAAUGGGGUAACAUGCGCAACCCCUGUUCUGUGUUUUAUAUGUCACAGAAGACUAUCUGGGAUAACCAGGAGGAAGGUGGGGAUGACGCCAAAUCAGCAUGGCCCUUUGAUGCCCUGGGCUACACACAUGAUACAAUGGAGCCGACAAUGGGUAGCCAAAGCGCGAGCUGGAGCUAAUCCCAACAAACGGCCCCUCAGUUCGGACUGAGGUCUGCAACUCGACCUCACGAAGCCGGAAUCGCUAGUAAUCGCCAAUCAGCUAUGUGGCGAUGAAUAUGUUCCUAAAGCUUGUACACACCGCCCGU